AAGCAAGGCAAGAUGGUUGCCUCGACGAUUGGAUUCGUUGGGGAGGAAAGUCCGAGCUCCCAAGGGUAGUGCAUCCCGAUAAUGCGGGACCGUCUGGGAAAUCAUACCGGAUGAGGAUCAGAGCCACAGUGACGAUACCUGAGACCGAAAGGUCGAAGGGGUGAAACGAGCAAUCUCUGCACGGAGCAAUGCCAAAUAGGGGAAGAUCCGGUUUUCCGGAGCGAAGCGGCCCGUUUCGCCAAUAUUCCCGGGUAGGCUGCAAGAGUUAAAGGAGCAAUCCUUUAAGUGAGUUCAAUAACCGUCGCUCGAAGAUUUUCUAGAGAGCAACAGAACUCGGCUUAUUUGCCUUGCUUGAAU
rnacentral:RNase_P_RNA from 1 species